CAGUAGCCACGGUAAUACGGAGGGGGCUAGCGUUGCUCGGAAUUACUGGGCGUAAAGGGCGCGUAGGCGGACAGCUUAGUCAGAGGUGAAAGCCCAGGGCUCAACCUUGGAACUGCCUUUGAUACUGGCUGUCUUGAGUUCGGGAGAGGUGAGUGGAAUGCCGAGUGUAGAGGUGAAAUUCGUAGAUAUUCGGCGGAACACCAGUGGCGAAGGCGACUCACUGGCCCGAUACUGACGCUGAGGCGCGAAAGCGUGGGGAGCAAACAGGAUUAGAUACCCCCGUAGUCCCUGUCUCUUAUAC
rnacentral:rRNA from 1 species